GACGAACGCUGGCGGCGUGGAUUAGGCAUGCAAGUCGAACGGUAUCAUCCUUUCGGGGGUGAGAGAGUGGCGAACUGGUGAGUAACACGUAGGUUAUCUACCCUCAAGACGGGGACAACCCAGGGAAACUUGGGCUAAUACCGGAUGUGAGCAACUUUUAGUUGUUUGAAAGGUGGCGUAAGCUGUCGCUUGGGGAUGAGCCUGCGUCCUAUUAGUUAGUUGGUGAGGUAACGGCUCACCUAGGCAAUGAUAGGUAGGCGGCCUUAACGGGUGGUCGCCCACACUGGGAUUGAGAUACGGCCCAGACUCCUACGGGAGGCAGCAGUCGAGAAUAGUCUACAAUGGUCGGAAGACUGAUAGUGCGACGCCGCGUGAACGAUGAAUCCCUUCGGGGUGUAAAGUUCUUUUAUAUGUGAGCAGUGCUUCUUAUAUUAACAGUAUGGGGAGAGAGAUAUUAGCAUAUGAAUAAAGCAACGGCUAACUCCGUGCCAGCAGCCGCGGUAAAUCUCG
rnacentral:rRNA from 1 species